CUACGGGAGGCAGCAGUGGGGAAUAUUGGACAAUGGGCGAAAGCCUGAUCCAGCCAUGCCGCGUGUGUGAAGAAGGCCUUCGGGUUGUAAAGCACUUUCAGUGGGGAAGAAAGCCUUGGGGCUAAUACCCUCGAGGAAGGACAUCACCCACAGAAGAAGCACCGGCUAACUCCGUGCCAGCAGCCGCGGUAAUACGGAGGGUGCGAGCGUUAAUCGGAAUUACUGGGCGUAAAGCGCGCGUAGGCGGUCUGAUAAGCCGGUUGUGAAAGCCCCGGGCUCAACCUGGGAACGGCAUCCGGAACUGUCAGGCUAGAGUGCAGGAGAGGAAGGUAGAAUUCCCGGUGUAGCGGUGAAAUGCGUAGAGAUCGGGAGGAAUACCAGUGGCGAAGGCGGCCUUCUGGACUGACACUGACGCUGAGGUGCGAAAGCGUGGGUAGCAAACAGGAUUAGAUACCCUUGUCGUC
rnacentral:rRNA from 1 species